UGUUAAAUAAAUGAUCAUCAAAUUUAUAAAAAACCAUAGAUUAUAUCAUAUGCAAAAAGAAACGGCCAAAAAUAAUUAUGUCAAUAUAUGCACGUGCUAUAAUUUAAGUGUGCCGUGGGGUAUUUGUAAAAUAAAAUAAAACACCAUGAAAUCGCAAUGUCCAUCUCGGAAGUCGCAGGUAAUCAGGGUGCCUGAUUUCAUGCUCAUUUGCAACGUAACCACGCGCACCACCACUACGAUUGUAUUGCGUUCCUAUUGAACGAAACAAACUGGGGUUGCGUGCCGUAAUAUAAAGCAAUACCAAUAAUUCACGUGCAAAUCCCGCGGUGAAACUCGAGCUGUGACGAUAUGGUAAAUUUGGGGCGGUUGUAAUAAUUAAUACUAGAAUUAAACAAGUCAAAUAAAAGACAGUUAUGAAGAAACGAAUAAUUGGAUGGUAGUUUCAUAACAACUACAAGAGGUGCGAGGCUACUCUACAUUAACGGCUACACAUAUUGGCGAGGGACUCAAUCGAACAC